UUUCUGUGAAAACUCUUUUUGUUCGUAGAACAGACUUUAUUUUUCUCACAGAAAAUGUCUGAUUGUGGUAAUCUGGGUAAGAACAAGUGAUGAACACUUAACCAAUGUUUCUCAACACUUUGCAAAGAUUGCAAGUUAAAACACAAGCACAUACUUGUGUAUCUUUCUUUUUGAAUAAAAAAUAACAACCUUCCAAAUGAACUUGUAUAAUUAUAAUUCUAUGUAAGCUUUGUUUAAUUGUACAUGUAAAAGAGAAUGGGGAUUCAAAAAUCAGCUAUUUUUUGUUAUCUCCAGUAAGACUUGAUAAUAGUCACUACAGUAGAACGAUGAAUCUGUCCGCCAUAUACAUGUGUAUUAUGGUCUCAUUUAUUUAUAAAGUCAUGUGAUGUUCAAUUGUGAUUAAAUCAUAUGUUAAUCUAUGACAAUAAUUCAAAAAAAUAUUAAAAGCAAUAUUGGUUUGAAACAUGCGUGAUAGAAGUUGAUUGUUGAAGUGCAAUUUUGAUUUUCUGUGAUUGUUUUGCGUAUUUUAUCAGACCAAUGAAUGUAGUGGAGCCACAACUUUGAGAUGAAAAUUAGCUGUGAGACUAAAAGCCAUCAAUAAAAUUCAUCUGCUUU
rnacentral:sRNA from 1 species